GGUUGAUCCUGCCAGUAGUCAUAUGCUUGUCUCAAAGAUUAAGCCAUGCAUGUCUCAGUGUAAACUUUUAAACGGUGAAACUGCGAAUGGCUCAUUAAAACAGUUAUAGUUUAUUUGAUGUUCAUUUCUACAUGGAUAACCGUGGGAAUUCCAGGGCUAAUACAUGCGGCUCCUCUGGAGCGAGUGUUUAUUAGAUUCAAACCAAAACCGUGUAAUAGCGGGUAUAUUGGAAUGAUAAUAACCUUUCGAAUCGCAUGCCGUAUGGU
rnacentral:rRNA from 1 species